AUGUCGGCCAUAGAUCAGGACGGUGACAUUGUGCCGCCGCCGCCGCCGCCGCCGCCGCCGCCGGGGAAGGCCGCGGAGACUCGGAUCGUGAAGAUGGACGGGCGGCACAAGUACGUCCAGUGGUUGCUGGCGGUGUGGGAUAAACAGCCUGGCCGUCCGUUGCCGGACCUCCCCGAUGACUACCUGGGUGACAUGCACGACGACAGCGAGCCCACCAGGCCCUCCCCGGAUCACGCCCUACACCGCAACCUGGUCCUCGGCUCCUCCUGUGGGUGGCUCGCCACCGCCGACGACCGCGGCAAGAUCGACCUCGUUAACCCGGCCACGGGCGAGCAUCAUGCGCUCCCGCACAUCGCCACAACGGGCGUCUUCGUUCCCUCAACCGGCGACCGCUUCUUCUGUGUCCAGCUCGACCGCUUCCUGACUGCCCGUUACGGCCACGGGCCGCCGUUCAAGGACAGCCCCUGGGGGCCGCACGGGUUGGCGACGUUCACGCUCAGAGCCAAAGAGAUGCGCGCCUACUUCUACCAGAAGGUGGUCCUCUCAACGUCCCCGUGUCCCGGCAGCUACGCCGCCAUGCUGAUCCUGCAUCGAGAUUUCGGCGCCCCCGCCUUCGUCACGGCGGAGGAACCUGCCUGGAGGCUGGCGCCGUCGCGUGACGGCGUCGAGGACGCUAUCCACCAAGACGGCAAGUUCUACUCCAUAUCCUACUCGGGCGACGUCGAGUCAUGGGAACGUGACGCCGAGUCCGGUGCGUUCACGAGCACCACUGCCGCGCCAAGGCUGGUCAUCCAAGACAAAGCACAAGCCAGCUCAUCGUCAUGCCGCAAGUAUCUGGCAGCGGCGCCUGGAGGGGAGCUGAUGGUGGUGCUCAAGUACCCAGAGAGGUGUGCGUGCUAUGUCCUCGAGGAUGACGGGCAGUGGAAGGAGACUAGGGACAUCUCCGACAUCCCGCAGUUUGUUGGGAGAUGCAGAUCAAGGAGGUCGGCAGAUGGGAUGAGGUUGGGUGAGGUGCACGAGGACAAAGGUGCAGCGCUCGCCCAAUACAAGUGCCACGGUUACACCCAUGUCGAGGUCCAUGUCGACUACGACGACGAACAGCCCUACCUCAAGGAAGAGGCCAUAUUGAUCUCGACUGAGAGCAAGGCCACCAUGCCCGAUGACCUCCGUGUCCCCAACCCCGUCCUGGCAGUCGUGCGUGAGCCCACCAUGCCCGCCCCUGCCGACGACCGUGCCCAGAUCUACCUCAUUAACCCGGCCACAGGCGAGCAGCACGCACUCCCGCAUAUCGCUACCAUUGGAGUCCUCCUGCCCUGCGCAGGUGACUGCUUCUGCUUAAAGAUUGACCGCCUCUUGACUGCUCGGUUUGGCUGUGGGCCGCCGUUUAAAGACCACUGUUGGGGGCGGGACGGGAUGGGGACGCUCACACUCAGUGCCCACCAGAUGCGCACUGGGUUCUACCGGAAGGUGGUCCUCUCAGCAUCUCCGCGCCCCGGCAACUACACCGCCAUGCUAACCCCGCACCGAAUUUUCGGUGCCCCGGCCUUCGCCACCGCGGAGGACCCUACCUGGAGGUUGGCACCAUCGCGUGAGGGCAUCGAGGAUGCCAUCCACCAUCAUGGGCACUUCUACUCCAUCUCUUACUCGGGUGUCGUGGAGUUGUGGGAACAUGACGCGGAGUCUGGUGCGUUCAUGAGCACGGCCGUCGCGCCAAGGCUGGACAUUGAAGGCAGCCUGUCAUCCUGUCGCAAGUAUCUCGGGGCGACGCCAAGAGGGCGGCUGAUGGUGGUGCACAAGUACAGAGAGGCCUUGAGGGUGCAUGUCCUCGGCGCAGACCAGCAGUGGAAGGAGAUUAGGGACAUCAGUGAGAUAGACUAG
rnacentral:rRNA from 1 species